GCUGGGUGCGGUGGCCCGUGCCUGUAGUCCCAGCUACUCGAGGGGCUGAAGCAGGAGGAUGGCUUGAGCCCAGGAGUGCCGGAUAUAGUGUGCUAUUCUGAUAGCGUGUCUGCGAUAAGUUCGGCAUCAAUAUGGUGACCUCUUGGGAACAGAGGACCACCAGGUUGCCUAAGGGAGGAGUGAACUGGCCCAGGUUGGAAAUGGAGCAGGUCAGAACUCCCGUGCUGAUCAGUAGUAGGAUCGAGACUGUGAAUAACCACUGCUCUGCAGCUUGGGCAACAGACCCUAUCUGUCUGU
rnacentral:SRP_RNA from 1 species